UGGGGAAUUUUGGACAAUGGGCGAAAGCCUGAUCCAGCAAUGCCGCGUGUGUGAAGAAGGCCUUCGGGUUGUAAAGCACUUUUGUCCGGAAAGAAAUCCUUGGCUCUAAUACAGUCGGGGGAUGACGGUACCGGAAGAAUAAGCACCGGCUAACUACGUGCCAGCAGCCGCGGUAAUACGUAGGGUGCAAGCGUUAAUCGGAAUUACUGGGCGUAAAGCGUGCGCAGGCGGUUUGCUAAGACCGAUGUGAAAUCCCCGGGCUCAACCUGGGAACUGCAUUGGUGACUGGCAGGCUAGAGUAUGGCAGAGGGGGGUUAGAAUUCCACGUGUAGCAGUGAAAUGCGUAGAGAUGUGGAGGAAUACCGAUGGCGAAGGCAGCCCCCUGGGCCAAUACUGACGCUCAUGCACGAAAGCGUGGGGAGCAAACAGGAUUAGAUACCCUGGUAGUCCACGCCCUAAACGAUGUCAACUAGUUGUUGGGGAUUCAUUUCCUUAGUAACGUAGCUAACGCGUGAAGUUGACCGCCUGGGGGG
rnacentral:rRNA from 1 species